CGAAGUCACAACCCUACUAGCUGUAGAUGCUGUAUUACUAUUUGUAGAAGAAAGAAACCAGUUGCAAUUUGCAAGGUGCAGGAUGGAAAAGCUUUGUGAGAUGUUUCCUUCUGUGCUUCAUUUAAAAAGGUGGAAAACAGGAAAAAAACAAACAAACAACUACAUCAACUUUUGAGGCUGAUGUUAGCCUUUAGGCUGCUGCUGACUACUGGGAGACAGGUGGUCAAGCCCACAGAGGCUGUCUAUUCAGCACAAUGAGGGAUACAGCCACCAUUGAAGCAGCUCAGAUUUGUGUCCUGCAUGCCGAUCAUGGAAUCAUAGGAAUGUCAGAGUUGGAAGAGAUCUCUAGCCCAACUCCCUGCAAGAGCAUGUUCCCUAGAAGCAGGUUACACAGCAAAGUUUCCAGGUGGGUUUUGAAUAUCUCCACAGGAGGAGAUUGUGCAGCCUUUCUGGGCAGCCUGCUCCUGUGGUCUGUCACCGUCACAGUAAAGUUCUUCCUUGUAUUUGUAUUGAACUUCCUGUGUUCCUGUUUGUGCCCAUUGCCCCUCAUUCUGUCACUGGGAACUGUUGAAAAGAACUUGUCCCCACCUACUUAACACCCACUCUCUAGAUUUAUAAGCAUUGAUAACAUCCCCUCUCAGCCUUCUCUUCGCUAGGCCUGAACAGUUCCAGAUAUUGAUAUUAGACCUCUUGGGAACACCAAUAGCUAUCGACCUUCAACCAGACUCUGCACUGCUGAUCACAACCCUCUGAGAUUUGCCAAUUAUCUGGUUCUCAGUUCGACUCACUGUCCAGUCACCUGUCCCAUGCUUCCUAUGAUUUUUCUCAUCCUAAUGUGGAAAAACAAACAAAUAAGAAUAAAGCAAGAGUUAAGGUUUGGAUUAAGACA
rnacentral:lncRNA from 1 species